ACUGCCGUCGGAGUUACUGUCAUCGGAGUUUCUGCUUUUUUCGCCAGGUUUCAGCGCCAUUGGAUUAAAUGAAUUACAUGAUGUGUACACAAGGCGUACCACUAUCCUACAUGCCCUUCCUGUAUAUCUGCGGGAGGAAAUCUCUGGAUUUUACAGAACAUGCGUGGAUGAUUUAGAGGAGCCAGAUGUCACAGAUGCAACGGUGGCCCUCCUUACAACCAUCAGCGAAAAUACCAUGAGUCCAGUCCACUACCACCCAGUAAAAACCUCUGUUGUCCUCGAAGGUGAUGUGGUGGUCAGCCUCCCCAGACUUGAUGAUGAUUCCUCUUAAUGUUCGGCCUAAUCUAUGCGCUACAUCUGAGCUAUCCCCAAGGACUGACCAACACUUUUGAGUUCAUUCAGAAAGUCGUACUUGGUCUGGAUGAGGGUAAAUUGUCACCCAGGCUGCAGACACUCAAGAAUGACUUGAUGAUAUGAUGAUGACAUCAUCUACAACAGUGUCCAUGUUGACGACUGUUUAACUGUGUUGAAGUUACUCCACAGGCCUAUUUGUUCAUGCAGUUUCACAUUUUAAAGGAAAACACAGUUCAUAGUGUUGAACUUUGUUUAGAUUUUAGUAAUUUAGUUGCUGGGACCUUAUUUCCCUCUGAGGACUUCUUGUUUAUUCUAUGGUAUGCUUCUUGUUUUAUUAUAUGGUGAAAAAAUGUUUAAAUUCAUUUUCCAAAGCUACAUACCUUGAAGUUCAAAGUUUAAAGCAAAUGUAAACCUUUGUACAUGUUAAUGUGGAUUUA